GUAGGGUGCGAGCGUUAAUCGGAAUUACUGGGCGUAAAGCGUGCGCAGGCGGUGAUGUAAGACAGUUGUGAAAUCCCCGGGCUCAACCUGGGAACUGCAUCUGUGACUGCAUUGCUGGAGUGCGGCAGAGGGGGAUGGAAUUCCGCGUGUAGCAGUGAAAUGCGUAGAUAUGCGGAGGAACACCGAUGGCGAAGGCAAUCCCCUGGGCCUGCACUGACGCUCAUGCACGAAAGCGUGGGGAGCAAACAGGAUUAGAUACCCUGGUAGUCCACGCCCUAAACGAUGUCAACUGGUUGUUGGGGAUUCACUUCCUCAGUAACGAAGCUAACGCGUGAAGUUGACCGCCUGGGGAGUACGGCCGCAAGGUUGAA
rnacentral:rRNA from 1 species